AAGUCGUAACAAGGUUUCCGUAGGUGAACCUGCGGAAGGAUCAUUACUGGAAAUAUUCAAGGUUGUAGCUGGCCCUUUCGGGGGUAAUGUGCUCGCCUUGUUUUCAAUCCAAUUCACACCUGUGCACACUUUGUAGUGUUUUGGUAUUGUCUCUUUCGGGAGAUUAAAACCAAGCUCUACGUAUUUUUACACAUACACUUAUAAAGUUUAGAAUGUAAUACUUGUGAUAACACACAUUUAAAACAACUUUCAACAACGGAUCUCUUGGCUCUC
rnacentral:misc_RNA from 1 species